AAACCAAAAAAAAGAACAACAUACAUCAUAGUAAAACCAAUACUUACUCCGCUCAGAAUCUAAAAUUGUGAGGCGCCAUAAAGCGCCAAGCCUUAAGCGGGUAUUCAGUUACACCCCACCCCCCCUCUCUUUCCACCGGCCCUGCUAGUUAUACUCUGGUAUAGAUAAAACUAUACUACUCUAUAUAUCCUCCUUUCCAACGUCCCUCCUAAAAUAAUGUAUCCUCCCAUCAGAAGUAUUGUGCGGUUUUUUUUUUUUUAAAAACGUUUUGUUUGCGAACAAUUUUUCUGUCUACCAGAAAUUUGGGUCCAAACAAAAAAAGACAAAAACUGAACAUUUUACACGAGGUUCAUUAUAAGUUAUUCUUAAUGGUUAAAAAAAACUUACGUUCAGCUUAGUAGUUUUUUAUAUAAACGUUUUAGGUUCAAAUUGUAUUUUACUCUUUAGUUAAUAUUUCUCGGGAUUACUUAUAACGAUAACAUUAUAGGCUCUUAAAAAAAUACGCCUUACCUAUAUUUAUUCUACUUCUUGUCCUUGUUUAUAUAGUAUGUAUAUUAGGUACAUACUAAUAUCUACCUACGUAUUAACGAACUCAUUUUAUCAUUUUAAUUAUUUAAAUUUAUUAUUCUACUACUU